UACGUAGGGACCAAGCGUUGCUCGGAAUCACUGGGCGUAAAGCGCACGUAGGCGGCUUUCUAAGUCAGGGGUGAAAUCCUGGAGCUCAACUCCAGAACUGCCUUUGAUACUGGAGAGCUUGAGUCCGGGAGAGGUGAGUGGAACUCCGAGUGUAGAGGUGAAAUUCGUAGAUAUUCGGAAGAACACCAGUGGCGAAGGCGGCUCACUGGCCCGGUACUGACGCUGAUGUGCGAAAGCGUGGGGAGCAAACAGG
rnacentral:rRNA from 1 species